UACCGUGUGAUGUGUCAGGUACUGUGUGAUGUGUCAGGUACUGUGUGAUGUGUCAGGUACUGUGUGAUGUGUCAGGUACUGUGUGAUGUGUCAGGUUAGGUACUGUGUGAUGUGUCAGGUACUGUGUGAUGUGUCAGGUACUGUGUGAUGUGUCAGGUACUGUGUGAUGUGUCAGGUUAGGUACUGUGUGAUGUGUCAGGUCAGGUACUGUGUGAUGUGUCAGGUACUGUGUGAUGUGUCAGGUACUGUGUGAUGUGUCAGGUUAGGUACUGUGUGAUGUGUCAGGUACUGUGUGAUGUGUCAGGUACUGUGUGAUGUGUCAGGUACUGUGUGAUGUGUCAGGUACUGUGUGAUGUGUCAGGUUAGGUACUGUGUGAUGUGUCAGGUACUGUGUGAUGUGUUAGGUACCGUGUGAUGUGUCAGGUACUGUGUGAUGUGUCAGGUACUGUGUGAUGUGUCAGGUACUGUGUGAUGUGUCAGGUUAGGUACUG